UGUACGUUUACAUAAAAUAGAGUGAAUUGUUACACUUUUUCAGAUUAUUGUAAAAAUAAAGUGUGUUGUUACAUGCAAAUUUUUUCUGGAUAUUUUUUUGUUCAAGAACACAAAUGUUUUUAAUUUCUUGAUUGAUCAAUUUUUUGUGUUAAAUUUAUUUAAGAAAAAAUGCAUGUUAUAUUUUUCGGUGUAGCAUAAAUAAUCUACGUUUACAUAAAAUAAAGUGCAUUGUUACACUUUUUUAGAUUAUUGUAAAAAUAAGUGUGUUGUUACAUUUUUUUAUGUUACAAAAUGAUAAUCAGUUUCAGAGUUAACUAGGAUCAUACCAGAUCUUUUGAGGAACAUCAACAACCUGCAAGUUGAACUGUUUACCUGUGAGCAAGAAAUUCAGAAGAAGAAGAGGGUUAUAUGGUUACUGAUAUUAGCGUUAGUGAUUGGCAGCUUACUUGUUUGCAUUGUUUGUUGUGAUUAAGAAAUAGGUGGUACUCAGUUGGAUUAUCCUUGUUAAUAUGUUAAUGACAUUUUCGGUAGUAUGUACUUGUUGAUAUUUAUGUAG
rnacentral:lncRNA from 1 species